UACAGGGGGGGCAAGCGUUGUUCGGAAUUACUGGGCGUAAAGGGUUUGUAGGUGGCCACUUAAGUCAGACGUGAAAUCCCUCAGCUUAACUGGGGAACUGCGUCUGAUACUGCGUGGCUUGAGUGCAGGAGAGGAACGCGGAAUUCCAGGUGUAGCGGUGAAAUGCGUAGAUAUCUGGAGGAACACCGGUGGCGAAGGCGACUUCCUGGCCUGUUCUUGACGCUGAGGCGCGAAAGCUAGGGUAGCAAACGGG
rnacentral:rRNA from 1 species